GUAAAUGGCAGUCUAUAGGCACUCAGUGACCCUGCCUCUAGACCUCGCCUCCUGUGAGCUUCUCCCCUAGAGGGUGGCCAGACCUGCUCAUUCGCUCCCAACUAACAAUAUGGCAGAAGUGGUGGAUGUCAAGAGAGACUGGAACCGAGUCUCAGUGACUCUUAAUGAGGUGGUGGCUCUGCUGUGAGGAACACACAUUUUGAGGGCACCUUGACCCCCAAGCUGGAAGCCAGCCCCUUCCCAGCCCAGCCUUGAGGUGGCAGCCUCUGCACUCUGUGCACAGACACUGCUAGAUGUUCUUGCUUCAAGCCUUUGUGGUUGGUUCUGCAAGACGGAGCUCAGAUGACCCUCAUAGGAACAAGCACGAGACCAGCAGCUGACUUGCCAACAGCAGGGAGAAGCCGGGAGACACUGGGGCCUAUUUGAAGAGUCGAAGGUCAAUAACUGCCAACCUAGAAUUCUGUGUCCUUCCCUUCCCCUGAGAAAGUGCUUCUCAGAGCAUUAUGGUAAGCCCAGGGAGAAACCAACAGAAAUCCAAGGAUGUGCAUUCUCUCUCAUGCUUAGAAGCUAGAGAGGAAAAGAGAAGAGGUAGUCGAGACCGAAUGAAAAUCAAAAGGGAGGGUCCUGGGAUAGAGGCUAGAGGGAGGGAAGAGGAAGCACUGGGGAACAAUGUCGCCAGAUUACACAUCGUGUGCGUGUGCAGAUACGUGCCAACAAAGCUUGUGAUGGUGUGUAAUUGUCAGGCACCAAUUAAAAAAUGGGGGAAAAAUUUAUAAAAAGGAAUGAAAAGGGGAAAAAAUACAUUUUGAGUGAACCAAUUUUGGUGUUUAAUUGAUCACAAGUGGAUUUUCAUGGAAGAAAAUACUGAGAGGUGCUCUCAGAGAGAAGGAAAAACAGGGAGAAGCUGUAGUUUGAGGAAGCAAGGAGCAGAGGAGGGCAGCAGGGUUGGUGUGCAGCACUUCCUUAGGAUGUGUUGAGCGAACAUGGACAACAAAGAGGGACGAGACGAACAACGCACAGCCACAGACCCAGCUCGAACGAGCACUUCUUAGAGACGGCACGAGGGCCCAUGUCACGAGGUGGGGUGUGGACAGAGUGCUUUGGCAGGCACCCGUCUUGGCCUGUUCACCAGAAUGCAGGCUUCAGAGGAGCCGAGUCCUACACGGUGUGAUCUCCGACACUGAACAGUCGAGCUACGGAUCAAUACCAACGGCAACCAGAAUCACCACCCUUCAGAAAUGAAACGAUAAGUUCUUAAUAACCUGGGGGUGAACAGGAAGAAGUAGAAAUUGGAAAAUAUUUCAAAUUGAAUGCUAAUAAAAAUACUAGAAGUCACAGCUUGUGACUGCAGCAAAAGCUAUUAUUUCUAGGAAAGAAUGUAUUGCCUUAAAUGUACGCUGUGAUAGGUAGAAAAUGAACUUAAAAAACUGAAGAAGAAAGAAUAAGGUACCAGUAGAACAUCACCAAAUAGAAAACAAGACAUGCCACAAGAUAGGGCCAGAAACUGGCUCUUCCAAAACCUGUGGUGUCAGAGAGAACACGUAGGAGUCCAGCACACCUCCGUGUCAAAACGAGAAAGAUGAGUUAGAAGAAAAGGCCGACCACGCGUGCCAACGUGGACCCUGCAGAGAGUUUAACAAGCUGUGUCUUUUAGGCAUGCAAGAUGGGUAUCCAUUUUUAAAAGUUUGUUGGUAAACUUUGCCUCUUUUUUUUUUUUUUUGUACUGAGAAUUGAACCCAGGGAUGCUUAACCACUGAGCCACAUCCCCAGCUCUUUUUAAAAUAUUUUAUUAGAGACAGAGUCUUGCUAGUUGCUCAGGGCCUCGUUAAGUUACUGAGUCUGGCUUUGAACUCAAAAUCCUCCUGCCUCCGCCUCCCAAGCCAUUGGGAUUACAGGCAUACGCCACCACUCCUGGCUAAACUUUGUCUCAUUUUUAACAAAAUAUAUUCAGUACAGAAAUAAAGUAUAAAAUUCAAAACUUAGUCAUCAACUUUUUUAAACUAAGUAAAUUAGGAAUAGAUUGAAAUUUUUCUUAUAAAGAGCCUCUACCAAAACUACUAUAGCAAAUGUUAGAUUUAAAGAAAUGCUGGAAUUUUUCCUUUUGAUGUGAACAAGACAAAGUUAAUCACUCUUUGCCACUUACUCUUCUUUACAUUGUAAGUUUACACGAGGUGUUGGAAUGAACAAAUGAAUACAGCAGUUUUUCUGGAUACAAGGCCAUCACAUGAAGGUUUAUUCAAGUUUUUAUUUGCUGGCAACAAAGAGAAAACUUUAAAAACUUUAAAACAUAAGGAAUUGUGAACAAAAAGAAGAAGAAUAGCCAAAGUGCCAUCAUUGUCCUGGCUCCAGGAUAGUACACAGACCACAGAAGAGUCCAGAAAUGGAGCUUCAUGUGUACCCUGGGUACAUCUUUCAAAGUGCCUUUGCAGACCCAGGGAAAGGUGUUCUUUUCAACAUAUCAUGCUGGACAUAGCGGGGUGACCCCUACUUUAUAUGGUAUAAAAAUGUCAUUUUUCUAGGUGGAUUGUAGAGCUUUGAAAAGCAAAGCCUUAAACUUCUGGAAAGUAGUCUUGUGACCUUAUAUAGAAUAAGUUUCUUAACUACCUUUAAAAAUUUAAUUAAAUGGACUUCAUUAAGAGUUAAGAUGGUAACCUUUUAGAGAGAAAAAAGGAGAAUUUGCUAGGGUUCAGGAUACACACCCCUGUGUUUGUAUAUCCUGUACAUUAUAUGUAUCCUGUGUGUUGUAAAUGAAAAUAUGUCCUGUGUAUUUAUACACAUAUGAAUCCCAUUGGUUAUUUCUCCGUAUAUAAAUUAAGGAUUCAACUCACACAAUCAUAGAGGUUGAAGAGUCUCACUGCCUGCCCCUCAGCAAGUCAGGGAGCCCUGGGUGCAACCCCCAGUCCAAGAACAGAAGACUGAGGUUGAGUACAAGCUGUCGGGCAGAGAGCUUCUCGACUCUUGUAUUCUUUCAGGCCCUCGGUGGGCUGGUGAUGUCCAUUCACACUGAGGAGGACACCUUCUUCACUCAGUCCAGUUCAAACACUGCCUCAUCUGAAACCUUCAUGGACACGCCUAGAAGUAAUGCUUAGCCAUAUCUGGGCAUCCAGUAGCCAGUCAAACUGACAUAAAAUUAACCAUCGUGAAUCCACCCUUUGUCAUCUUGGCCCAUAUGUAUCUGCAUAAACCAUACUGAAUCUCCAAAUCAGGACAGUAACAGGGUCAUAAUUCUGCCUGAUGUGAACCUCUGAAAACACACCAGCCCCUUCACCAGAAGAGAAGGUAAAGUCCUUGAGUGCUGUUUACCCAUGUUCUCAACAUCCUGUAACUGAAGCACUUGGUGUGAAGUUAACAAUACUCAAAUACAAUACUAUAGAGUCAAUACACCUUAGGUUGCAUGAUGAGAGGACGGAAGUAGAGAGAACUGAAGUCAUUUUCUGUGCCACGCACGCACGAACAUGGAAGAGGAGGAGAGGAAGUCCUCAUGACAGCCGUGGUGACCUGUGUGAUUGGCUGUGUACUCCAUGCCCCUGCCUUCUAUAACCCUGUGUGUAGAGAAGGCAGAACUGUAUCCAGAGUGAAGAGAAACUACUGGCCCUUCCUCCAUGGGAGCAGUUCAUUGUCAUCAACACCACAGUGCAGCUCAUGAAUCCUGGGGAAUGAGCACUCGGGGCUCCCCAGCCAGAUGGGCCUUUGAGAGUGGGAGUCUGUGUUGCUGCGCCCAUGCAUAACCUCCAUCUCUGCCCCCAUGGCCACUGGUCCAUGAGCCCGCAGGGUGGUGGUAGGGGUAGCUGGGAGGAGGCUGACUGCAGCCACCGUCUUCACUUGAUCAUUACUGUGCUUCUUGCAGAGUCUCCCUUCUGUGAACAUUCACACGAGGCAGAUGCCUACUUUUUCCCAUUCAGAGAGGUCUGUGUAUAGCUCCUCACCAGAUUUCCUUGUCACCAAUUUUUCAAUCAUGUUCUUUCCAAGUCUCCUGCCCUCCAGCCAGACCAUGCAUUGGUUUGUGAUCACACAUGUGGCCAUUCCACCUCACUUAAGUGCCCUGCUGAAGCUCUGCCACUGAGAUUCCCCUUCAUUAGGCUCCUCCAGGGGUGUCCCAGAGAAGGCUUGUAGGGUUGCCGUUGUUGAUCUCUAAACCAGGGAGAGAAGGCCGUGGAGCAGGAGGGAGGCCAUGCGUGGCAUCUGGGCCACUUCAUCUAACUAGGUCUUCAGGGCCUUCCUGGGCCCAUCACUUGCAUACCACUUCCAUUGAUGCUAGAGCCCUGUGCAUGCCCACCUUUGAGGCCUGGUGGCCUGUUAACACCCAAUUUAUGACAGCAGUUCAGUGAAUAAAUUCGUGGCCCGUGGUUUCACAUUUAAUCUCCACUUAGGCUCUGCUCAGGCCACAGUCAGUUUCUCAAAAGAAGAGAGGUUAACUGCAGAGAGUGGCAGGGCUUCACCCCAAAAUCCUCAAGGGCUUAUAGCGAAGGGGCAGCCAAUGGCUCUAGACAGCAUCUCUGGCCCCAUGGACAUUCCACGCAUUCCCGGGCGUUGUGGUCAUGUGGCCCACGUAGUGCUAUCUGGACCUGUUGCACAGCCUUCCAUUCAGGCCCUACUCAAAUGUGGCAGCUUUUUGGGUCACUCCGUAACACCUAAAUGAGAAGUAUGCUGUCUCCAAACCCAGAGUCCCCAGGCCUCAUGCCGAGCCUUGCUCCCCAUGCCUGUUGGCAUGGGAGGGACUUGGUGCGACAGUGUACCCUUCACCUUCCACCUGGGAUCUUAGCAUGCCGGGGCCCCGGGGCCCUGGAAUGCAGGCUGGUGGAAGGCCCCAAGGCUAUUGGGUUUCCCUCCCAUGCUCUGACACACAUCUUACCAAUAAAUCUCCAGCAGUUGCUACUUGCUCACAAGCUGCAUGAGGAAGCGUCACAAAUGGCUCAGUGUGGUGCCUUGUGCGGGCAAAGGCAGCCAAGAUCCUGCAAAGGACAUCAUGCCAGAGGCCCAGGGAGCUGAUGUCCCGAGGUAGGGCUGUGAGGUGCAGCUGGCCCUCGGCAUCCCUGGACUCCACAUCCUCAAAUUCAACUUACUGUGGGUCAAAAAUAUUUGGAGGAAAAUUGUGUCUGUAUUGAACAUGUACACCUUUCUUGUCCUCGUUCCAUAAAACAUAGUGUGACGGUCAUUUACCUAGCAGUUCCAUUGCAAUAGGUAUUACAAGUCUCUAGAGUGUGUAGAAUGUGCGGGAGGGCGUGGCAGGUUAGAAGUAAACACUGCAGCAUUUGUCUAGGGACUGGAGCAGCCAGAGUGUUUGUGUCUGGGGGCUCCUGGGACCCAGCUCCCUUGGGUACCAGGAGAUAGUUUAUUCUAGUCCUGUAUUCCAUAGCUAGGGAAAUAACCGCAGGGUGGAUUUGGGGACCUACUGGCCCACUGUGAGAUGGACCUGAGCUAAAACACCAUCAGUCCCUUGAUUUCCAUUAGCCCCUCCCCUGACUAGUGGACCGCAGUGAUGUAGGGGUCUUCUGGAACAGGCAGCAGUUCAGAACCAAUGUGCAGUAGCUCCCCAAAACACACACACACACACACACACAAAGUCUGCUUAUUCCUUUUCCCCAUUGUGCAGUUACCCUGGUAAAAGGCCUUGAUCCCUGGGGAAGGCUGGGAGGAGUGAUGAAUGGCAACAUCCUUUGUCAAGGAAUAGUGGGGACAGGGCCUCCCUCACUCAGGGGAUUCUGGGCCUGUGAACUCGCUCGGGUUAGACUUUUGCUCACUUGACAGAACUUCUCUGUUUCCACAGCUCUAAGAAUGCUAGGCUUCCCUGUCUGACUCCUGGGAACACCAUGAUCAGCUAGCCAAGGUCAGAGUUGUACAUGGAUUAAACUUCUGUUACUGCUUUGACUCUGCCAUCCAUUACGGUAACUGUGCCCACCUUUACUUUGGCAUCUGGGUACCACCCCUUGGCCUCUGCCACCCCUGUAUCCGUGCAUUUGGUUCUCACUUGGUUAUAGCAGUUCCCAUUUCCAGAUCUGGCCUGCAUAGGAGAGCCACCCCUAAGUUCCUCAAGGAUGUCUGGGUUCUCCUCAAAAAUAUCUCUGCAGUCACGGUGGAGGUGUGUCUUCGGGGCCCUCACAGGUGGGACAGUUGGGCCUUGAAUGGCAAAUCCACUGGAGCACUCCUGCCGCAGUCCGGCUGCAGCAAAAUAACCAGGGGGUGACGAGCAACUUGUGUACCUUGAUACAGCAGGAGUGGGAGCCGUUUAUUGUAGGACAGGAGGGGUGUAUAUACAUUCCACACAGCUUAUCUUAAUUAACAUAAACUAGAUACAGCAGUCAACCAAUAAGGAAUCUCCACACUUAAUGGCUCGCUGGCGUUACUUCACAAACCACUCCCUCUGCAAAAUGCCAGGUGCCAUCUUGACUUGUUUACAGACUCUAACACACUCCAACCUCCCAAACCUCUGAACCCCUCCUCUGCAUCAAAGCAGAGCAGGUCCAGUGUUCCCGGCCCUUGCUUCAGGAGCCUGUCGGAGAUUCUGCCUGACUCAACCUGUGUGCCUUACGCCAUUGUCCCCGUCCUCAUGGCCUUCCCCCAUGGUCUCUGGAUUUCCAUCUGUGUGAAUUAGGAAGUGAAGUCAUCGUUUUGGAGUGUACCUCAUGGGUCAUUAUUUGUGCCUCAAAUUUAGGGGACUGCAGCCCUAAUAAGGGGUCUAGAAGCAGAGGGGCAUUGAAGGUGGGUCCUGAGGAGAAUGAGCAUCAUCCUGCUAUGGCACUGCCUGAGGUGGGAGGGGUCAUGGUGCCCCCAGGCAGCGCAGCAGUAGUCCUCUUGAACAUGUGCGAGGCCACUUCUGCUGGCAGAGGCUCAUCAGAAUAUAGGGGCCCAGGGUCCCCAGCUUCACUGGAACCCUUCCUACAAGUCCCCAUGAUAACUUCAGGAUCUCUUUCCUUCCCAAUCAAAGCCUUCCCUGUAACGGUGGAUGCCCGCCAGGUGGGGAAUUAAACCUGCACUGUGAACCAGCCGGUCCCAGGGGGGGAUUCUGCUUUUGAUUUUGAGCAGUCUCAAGCCUGCAGCUGCAGGAGACCGAAGGCUCGUCCAGGCACACAUACAUGCUCUCGGGUCAUUCAUGCAGGGCCUGACCUCACCCUUUUCUUUCCCCAGUUGGUCCAGUGACAUAAGAAGCCACCAGCAAAUCUCAGAUCUGCUGAUUUGGGAAAACUGCUUGGAAUUGUGUGCAAUCACCCAGACCCUUGCUUCUUGCGUGUGUCUGAUCAGGGGGUGCAGUGGUAAGAUCCUGCAGUCUCUACCACUAAGUCACUCUGUGGACUGUCUGCUCUCUUUACAUCCUCGGCACCUUUAAUCAGGUUAGAGAGCCCAUUCCAGAAUCAAUUCUGAGUGCUCUUCCUUGAAAUUCUGCUGCUCCUCACAAUCCAGAUCACUAGUAUUCAGGGGUCUCCAGAGGAUCAGAACCAAUGGGACAUACCUAGAGACAGGGACAUAGUGUAAGGACUUGGCUAUUCGAUUGCCUGAGCUGACAAGCCCAAGAUCCACAGCAGGCAAGUGGGAGACUCAGGAGGGGCAGUGAUGCAGCUCCAGCCCCAGGAGGAGCUGACGUCUCGUCUCAGGUCAGAAGGCAGGAAAACGCUCCACUCCAGAGAAGGAGGCCAGCCUUUGUGUCCCUCUGGCCCCCAGAGGAUUGGAUGCGGGGCCACCCCUACUGGCAGGGCACUGCACUUUGCUCAGUCCAGAAAUUCAGUGUUCAUUUUGUCCAGAAGCACCUUUGUGGACAGCCAAAAUGAUGCUUGACCAACUAUCUGAGCAACAGUUAGGUUGCCCCUAAAAGGAACCAUCACGGUACCUUGAUGCAGUGGAGUGCUGACACAGGUGACCUUAGGGAGGGGUGGGGGGCGAGAGGAAGGGGUGCACCCGCGUCAGCAGAGACGCAGACCUUGCCUGGCACUCUGCGCAUCCAGGCCCCGUGUUAGCUUGCCUGCAGCCCGCUGGACCAGCCAUCUGGGAAGAGCAGGACUGUCAGUCAUAGUUAGUAGUUGUGGAUUAAGUUGCCUCCCCCCAAGUUCAUGUGAUGAAGCCCUAGCCUUAAUACGUCAGAACGCGACUAUCUUCAGAGACGGGCUCUAAAAAGGUGAUUGAAAUGAGGUCGUUCGGGCAGCCCUGACUCAGUCUGACUAGUGUCAGAAGCAACCGGCACACACCAGGUGCAUAGAGAGAUGACCAUGUGACAGACAGCAUGCAGGAAGCCACCUUCAAACCAAGGAGAGAGGCCAACAAGGAAAGCAGCCCUACCAACGCCUGGAUCUUGGACUUCCAGACUCCAAAACUAUGAGAAAAUAGGUUUCUUUUGUUGAAGCCAUUAGCUUGUUUUGUUAUGGCAACCCAAGCAAAGUGACGCUGAGUACACACUGCUCAGUAUUUGCUGAAGAUUGGGUCAAUAAAAUGCUUUUUCCCUGGCCCUCUUUUCCCAUAGCUCACAGCUGCUGAAGGGAGGCAAACUUGUAAGUAAAGAAGUUGGUGUGUCCCAGAGUGUAGGAGCAGGAGCUGCCCAGGAAAGGGCAGCUCAUAGGUAGGUGUGGGCUGGGAGGGCGUUCCAGGCAAGGAGCCAGUGCGGGCAUCAGCCUCCAGCCAAGAACCACACCUCUGAGAACCACUGAGUGGUUUGCUACGUCCAACAGGCCA
rnacentral:lncRNA from 1 species